rnacentral:misc_RNA from 1 species
UCCUUCAGUUUCUGCUCGGGAACGCCCGCAAGCUUGAGCGCAAAUCCCAUGUUUUCUUCAACGGUCAUGUGCGGAUACAAGGCAUAGCUCUGAAACACCAUCGCGAGCCCGCGCCGGUCGGGCGGGAUGUCGUUGCAGCGCUCGCCAUCGAUCAUCAGAUCGCCGGCAUCGAUGUCUUCAAGCCCGGCGAUCAUGCGCAGCAGCGUGGAUUUCCCGCAGCCGGAAGGCCCCACGAACACGACGAAUUCGCGGUCGUUGAUGGAGAGAUCCACGCUGCGGAUGACCUCGUGGAUGCCGUAGGCCUUGCGAACGGAUUUCAGUGUGAUGUUGGCCAUGAUUUGACUUCCUGGUUACUUGACGGCGCCGAACGUCAGCCCGCGAACGAGCUGCUUCUGCGUGAUCCACCCAAAGAGAAUGAUCGGAGCGACGGCCAGACUGGAAACCGCCGACAGCUUCGCCCAGAACAAUCCUUCGGGGCUCGAGAAGGACGCGACGAGGCUCGUCAGGGGUGCCGCCGCCGUCGAUGUCAGGUUGAUGCUCCAGAACGCCUCGUUCCAGCAGAGAAUGACCGACAGCAGACCCGUGGACGCAAUCCCCGGAAGCGUGAGCGGAACGAGAAUGAGGCGGAUCUGCUGCAGCGUCGUCGCGCCAUCCAUGCGCGAGGCUUCGAUGAUCUCCCCCGGCACGUCCUUGAAGAACGAGUAGAGCAUCCAGACCACGAUGGGGAGAUUGGCGAAUGUGUAGACGACGAUGAGGGCUGUUUUCGAGUCGAUCAGGUGAACCGACUUGAACAUCAGAUAGAUGGGCACGAGGACCCCGACGGGCGGAAGCAUCUUGGUGGACAGGAUCCACAUCAGGACAUCCUUCGUCCUGCGCGUCGGAAAGAAGACCAUCGAGUAGACCGUGGGAAGGGCGAUGGCCAAGGCAAACACCGUGGCGGAAAAGGAAACGACGACGCUGUUCAAAAGAUACGAGGCGUAGUUCGCCCUCUCGUUGAUGGCGCUGUAGUUUUCCAGCGUCGGCACGAAGAACAGCGACUUCAUUCCACCGAUCGCUUCGGCUUCGGUCUUGAAGCUCGUGACCACCAUCCAGAAGAUCGGAAAGAAGAGACAGAGGGCCAACGUCCAUCCGGCAAUGCCGGAAUAGAGCGUCGUGCGCUGACGGGCAGACAACAUGUCGAUCUCCUAUUUCG